GGAUUGUGGCUCAGUGGUAGAGUGCUUGCCUAGCAUGUGUGAGGCCCUGGGUUCAAUCCUCAGUGCCA
rnacentral:tRNA from 1 species